CAGCAGGAUCUGGCUAUGUAUGAUGCAGCUGCAAAGUACUGCAUUGUCCUUGGUCCCUGCUCAAAAUAAGCUUGUGGCCCUCCUGGCCCUGUCUGCCAAGGUGCUCCACUGGCAGGCAGGGAUGUUGGGUCCCAUACAU
ensembl:snoRNA SNORA63 Small nucleolar RNA SNORA63